GGUUCAAACAAAGGCCAAAGCCGGCAAAUUAAAUACUUGGCAAACCAGUGAGCGCAACCGAAUGGAUACCGUCGAACCUUGAACGUACCUCGAGGGACAAAACAAAUCCGUACCUCCGCAGAAGUCUCCCAAGUGAUGGAAAAAAGAUCAAAUGUGAUCACUUGAAUCUUUAUUUUCUCAUGAAGUCUGACGGGAUCCUUCGGGUCAUUGUCCAUCUGCACUGUGAAGCACCUGCUGGCAAAUGAGUUCUGAAGCACUUGGCUGAAGUUGAGCAGAUUGCCCGGUGGUGGUGGUGGUGGUGGUGAGAGCCAAAAAGGUGGGAACUGUGUCCAUAUCCCAAUAUUUCUAGACCUGACCAGUCACGUUGUACUUAAAGUCGAAAUAACUCCCGUAUAGACGCUUUGGGAACACGUAGGGCGAGACAGCGCAAAGGUCCAAUCAGCUUUUGAAGCCAUUUUGAUUCAAACCUGCUCACCUUUGGCGCUUCUUUUCUUUCAAACUGGUAAUUAGGCGAGCCAGUCGUAAGCAUCGGGGACGUUAUUGCAGCAGAGCAAAGAGGAUCAGAUUAUCUCCAGCGCUAAUCUCACGCUCACUUUCUUUUAUUUUUCACUUUCAUCUUUAAAUCCCACCAAGCCGAUUACAUAUUGACUGAAUUUACUUAUUCGAGCCCAACCAACACACACAAAAAUAAAAAUAAUAAUCGCCGCCACUGUGAGCACUUGAUGGAUUGCAUCGUGCAUUUCACUUGGAUUGCAUUUGGCGCACGCAGGUGUAAACGUUGACGUUUCCGAAACGCACGUUUUCGUAAAGUAGCUUAGCCGAAUGGAAUGCGGUUCGUCAUUAGCGUGAGAGAUUCCUCGUGCUGCAGCUUGGACAGGUCAAAAGUCUGUUGACCGUUCCGCAAACACCUAAUAAACACAAUGACUAAAUAACAUGUGCGUAAAUAAUCAACGGGCAAUACAUGGCGCAAGUAUUGUGGAUUUCGCUGGCGCCUCACUUUCAACGACCGCAUAAGGGCGGGUCCUCCAAAACAGUCCCCAGAAUUUGGAUAGAUGUUGAGUCUGAAAUUUCAUCUUUUUCAGGUUGGGCUCUAAUUGUAGAAAUAUUCACGGUUCCUUAAGUAGAGUGGUGCCUUGAGAUCCAAGUUGAAUGAAUUGUAGCGCUGCAUAAUUUUUAUUUUAUUAAAUUUAUUUAUAAUAAUUUAUAAAAUUUAUAAAAAUAAUUUAUUUUUAUAAUUAUUAAUUUUAAAAGCUGCAUUUUUUUUCUCUUUCUUCUUUCUUCUUUCUACAUACAUUCUUGCUGCUGGAGGCUGUAAAUUUCCCCAGUGUGGGACGAAUAAAGGAUAUCUUAUCUUAUCUUAUCUUAUUAUAAUGUAAUUUGCGUCAUCGACUCAAAUUAAAAAUAAUCUAACAGUUGUUUGUCACACUGCAAUCAAUUGUGUGGCCCUUGCCACGUGGGGGCACUACGAGACAGACCGACAAAUUCCUGUUCUUUGAGAAGUCUCAGCUCCUCUCUCGGAUCAUCAGUAUGGCGCUAAUAGUAGUUCUACGCAGAGGAUAAAGAAUUCAUGAGAGUGAUUAUUCUUAUAUCAAGCUGCGAAAGCGCCACAACAUAGAUGCCGAUUCUCAUUAGCAUUUGGCUAGCUAUGUGGUUGAUUUUAACACACCACGCGGUAGAAGAAGAAUUGUUCCGUAUUUGCUAAAGUGCUUCUUCUUGUGAAGUGACUUGAACUGAGUUGACCGCCAUCACUGCGUGGCCGUAUCUCAAUUUUGUUCAAAGUUGAGUGACGGUUCGUAUCUCGAAAGACUCGCGACCCGGAGUCGCUUUUAUCUCAAGGCAGCGCCGUCCAUUUUCUGAUUCCACCGCUUGUAGAAGAGCGCUGAAAGAUCUCUUUUGACCCAAAAGGGAAGGUUACAAACGGGACCGUUAGUGUCAAGGGCUGAGCGCCGCCACCUGUUUACCGCGGC